rnacentral:rRNA from 1 species
CCUACGGGGGGCUGCAGUCGAGAAUCAUUCGCAAUGGGCGAAAGCCUGACGAUGCGACGCCGUGUGAGCGAAGAAGGCCUUAGGGUCGUAAAGCUCUUUCGCCUGGGAACAAGAGAAGUCGGCUAAUAUCCGGCGGAUUUGAGGGUACUAGGUAAAGAAGCACCGGCUAACUCCGUGCCAGCAGCUGCGGUAAUACGGAGGGUGCAAGCAUUAAUCGGAUUUAUUGGGCGUAAGGGUAGUAGAGGCGGGUGAAAUCCUGGGGAUCAACCUCAGAACUGCAUUUGAAACUGUAUCUCUCGAGGGUAGGCGGAGAAAACGGAAUUCCACAAGUAGCGGUGAAAUGCGUAGAUAUGUGGAAGAACACCGGUGGCGAAGGCGGUUUUCUAGCUUAUUCCUGACGCUGAGGCGCGAAAGCAAGGGGAUCAAACAGGAUUAGAUACCCCUGUAGUC